GUGAGGAAUCUUCCGCAAUGGGCGAAAGCCUGACGGAGCAACGCCGCGUGAAUGAAGAAGGCCUUCGGGUCGUAAAGUUCUGUCUUUAGGGAAGAAGUCCCUUGAUGUAAAUAAUGUCAAGGGGUGACGGUACCUAAGGAGGAAGCUCCGGCUAACUACGUGCCAGCAGCCGCGGUAAUACGUAGGGAGCGAGCGUUGUCCGGAAUUACUGGGCGUAAAGGGCGCGUAGGCGGGUAUUUAAGUCAGAUGUGAAAGCUCCGGGCUUAACUUGGAGAGUGCAUUUGAAACUGGAUAUCUUGAGGGCAGGAGAGGAAAGUGGAAUUCCUAGUGUAGCGGUGGAAUGCGUAGAUAUUAGGAGGAACACCAGUGGCGAAGGCGACUUUCUGGACUGUACCUGACGCUGAGGCGCGAAAGCAUGGGGAGCAAACGGGAUUAGAUGCCCUGGUAGUCC
rnacentral:rRNA from 1 species